UACGUAGGGUGCGAGCGUUGUCCGGAAUUAUUGGGCGUAAAGAGCUCGUAGGCGGUGUGUCACGUCGGCCGUGAAAACCUGCAGCUUAACUGUGGGCGUGCGGUCGAUACGGGCAUCACUGGAGUUCGGCAGGGGAGACUGGAAUUCCUGGUGUAGCGGUGAAAUGCGCAGAUAUCAGGAGGAACACCGGUGGCGAAGGCGGGUCUCUGGGCCGAAACUGACGCUGAGGAGCGAAAGCGUGGGGAGCAAACGGG
rnacentral:rRNA from 1 species